rnacentral:tRNA from 1 species
AGCUAAAGCUAGAGCGUGGUGCUGAUAACACUAAGGUCACGGGUUCAAUCCCUGU